GAUGAACGCUGGCGGCGUGCCUAAUACAUGCAAGUCGAGCGAACAGAUAAGGAGCUUGCUCCUUUGACGUUAGCGGCGGACGGGUGAGUAACACGUGGAUAACCUACCUAUAAGACUGUGAUAACUUCGGGAAACCGGAGCUAAUACCGGAUAACAUAUUGAAACGCAUGGUUCAAUAGUGAAAGGAGGCUUUGCUGUCACUUAUAGAUGGAUCCGCGGCGGAUUAUCUAGUUGGUAAGGUAAAGGCUUACCAAGGCAACGUUACGUAGCCGACCUGAGAGGGUGAUCGGCCACACUGGAACUGAGACACGGUCCAGACUCCUACGGGAGGCAGCAGUAGGGAAUCUUCCGCAAUGGGCGAAAGCCUGACGGAGCAACGCCGCGUGAGUGAUGAAGGUCUUCGGAUCGUAAAACUCUGUUAUCAGGGAAGAACAAAUGUGUAAGUAACUGUGCACAUCUUGACGGUACCUGAUCAGAAAGCCACGGCUAACUACGUGCCAGCCGCCGCGGUAA
rnacentral:rRNA from 1 species